rnacentral:rRNA from 1 species
UACAGGGGGUGCAAACGUUGCUCGGAAUCAUUGGGCGUAAAGCGCACGUAGGCGGUCUGUUAUGUCGGAUGUGAAAGCCCUUGGCUCAACUGAGGAAGUGCAUCCGAAACUGGCAGGCUAGAGUACGAAAGAGGAUCGCGGAAUUCCCGGUGUAGAGGUGAAAUUCGUAGAUAUCGGGAGGAACAUCGGAGGCGAAAGCGGCCAUCUGGACCAUUUCUGACGCUGAGGUGCGAAAGCGUGGGGAGCAAACAGG